UUAAUUACUUGAAUAUUGUAUUUUGGUAAGGUCCACGUCUGUAAUCUGAGUUUGUGGAAGCGAUUCCUCUCGACAACAAAAGUGCGUCCAUAAGUCCAAGUUAACAUCAUGGUCCACAAGGUCACCGGCCACAUUAACCAUAGAUACCACUUCGAUUCUUGAGGGUUGGAAGCCAAGCAGGCAAGUCCAAGCCGUAAAUGAUAGAUGGAAUCUGGUGUGGUAAGAUGAGUUAGAUGCACUACAUCAGGGGCUUCCUCGGGUCUCUUGAGCGAAUCUUCAUAGAGGGUAACAGAAGACGUGUCCAUUGUGCCAUAGAUGUAAUCAUAGAUGGGCAUGAAUAGUGAGUAAUUGGUUCUGAAUUGAGUGUGGUGAAGAGAGUGGUACCUGCAGCCAUAUCAAGUGUUUAUUAGUUCAUCAUGGAGGGAGUAACUAGUUCUAAACUGGCUUUGGUGAAGAGAGUUGGAACUUGCAGCUGCAUCAAAUGUUAAAUCAUGCAUUCGCGCUUAUCAGAUAUUGUUUUGAACACUGAUUAAUAGACAACGCAAUAAUGCACUGUCAGUGAAAAUAUAGUGGAAAAGGUGAAAUGUACGCGUCAAAGCUAUUAAAAUACAGUAUAAAAUCACAAAACGAUACUAUGGAAUUAUAAUUAACAGAGUAUUUUCCAUAGACGACUGUAUAUUCUUUUCAUCUUCUUUUUAUGCAAAAUUUGGUGAAUCAUUUUCCUGCUUUUUGUUCAUAAGUAUGGAAGAAAUCCCAUUAAUAAAACGAAGAGGAUACUGGUGAGAAUUAAUGAUUGAAAAUGCAAAAAAUCAACUGAGAUACAUCUAGACUUACGAUGGGGUGUACAUGAGGUACUUGAGAGGGGGGAAAAUGAUGAAGAGCCAUCUGGGAAUGAGUUCAAAGUUGCAGUGACCCAUGUUGUUCAUCAAGUCGAUGUAAGUGAUAUAACCAGCAAAGGAUGUUAAAGAGGCUGUCCCCGUCACAAUAGUCGUUAUCAAAGGUAUUGCGAAUAGCAUGGAGUAGGAUAUGUGCUCGGCGAAUGGAUGAAUCACAGCUGCGAUGCAGAUUUCCAGAAAGAAAAUGUCAAAUAAUUACACUUACUGUAUAUCAUCAUCAUGUAUUGCUAAUAGUAAUGGAGAAUGGUAUGCGUUCCCCUCAAUCACACACAAGAUUUUUCUUCCGUUAUUAUAAAAAUACGCGAACUUAAAACCUUCUAUGAAAGGUCAAUUAAACUAAGUUUAUCAACGAUCACACAAGAUUAUUAAUAAUUCAAAUGCACACCAUAUAUAAAUGUGUGUCAUUCUUCUUAAGGAGUACUUAAGAGAUUAACUAUUCACUUUGAAAUUCUUAAAUAACUUUUAAACCACCAACACCAUAUAUACAUGGGGGCCGGGGGUGUUUGGAGGGAGACUUACAAGUAAUGGGCUCUGUGACAAUGGAGGAAUGGUGGUGGGAAUGAUAGCGAGAGUAGAGAUAGUGGUGAUGAAGAAGUCGAUGAAGCCAAUAAUACAGAAAUUCCACCGGACCCAUAUGAAUCAGAGCUGUUAGAAUUACACCAUCUAACCUCCACAUGGGGAGAUGGCUAGCUCCUGGAAUUAUUUUGCUACCAACGUAGAAUAAAAUUCCAUUGAACAAUAUUUGGUCAUCCCUGCGGAUAUCCAACCAGAAAAUCCAAGUAUCAAAAAACUCACAAGCACUAGAGUGGAAAUUAAUGCAUGAAAUUAUUGAAAAAGUAUAUAUAUAUAUUUGAUUAUACAAAUACCAGUUGCUUUCUCUAUCAACUUGAUCAAAUUCAAUGCCUUUGUCAAUAAUCCUGUUAUUUCCUUUGGCUGUUCUGUAACGGGACAGGCUGAUCCAUAACUGGUUGUGAAGAACUCUCCACAACAGAAUUGGGAAAAUGAGAAAGCUUGGGAGAUCUUUUUCAUCUUUAACCAUAAAGGCGUAGAUGUUGUGAAUGACACAAGGAGCCAAUAUUACAUGCUGCAAUAUUUAAACACACAAACAAAACACAGAUAUAUAUUAUUGUUUUAGGGUUAUGAUAUAUUAACGUUGUUUGCACGAAAACGAGUUACUCUACGUGUGAUAUCAGAUAACGAGAAGAAAAGGAGCGAGAGAGAGAGAUGGGAGGGAUUUCCAUAUGACCUUAAAGCUUCCAAGAGGUUUCCAUGGCCAGUCUGUGAGAAUUCCAGGCCGAGAAGCCAUCACUUCACUGCUACUACUUGUCUUUGUUUCCUCGCUUGUAGCUAGGGAAGUCGUGUAUUUAUAGACGAUGAGUAAUAUAUUUUCUUUAGCGUUAACGUUAUAAUUAUUGAUGAGUAAUGUUUUUUUAAUAACAGUACUGCCGCUCGAUCAAGUUAGAGCUGAGUAAAUUAUAAAUUAAUCCUUUUAAUUUUGGAAAAUAAAUUAAUUAGUCAUCUUCUUAAAAAAAAAACAAAUUAUUCAGUUUUUUUGAUCUAUUAUAUGUUAUUUUCUAAAUUAUGUUUUAAUAAAUAAAUAGAUAUUAUGGAAAGAUUGAUGAGAAAAGUAGAUAUUUUUGUAAAUAAAUUAAUAUGAAAGUAAGCAUGAUUAACAAUGAUAAGUGAUUAAAUAAUUAAAAUAGAUUGGUCAACCAUAUUUGUAAAACGAUACAUGUUUCAAUAUACUAAACUCUCUUGCAGGGUAUUCUUUGUCUUUUUACCAUGGCUUUCUUUUUAUUAAUAUCAAGGUUACUCAUGAUGAUUAUUAUAUAUAAUCAUAUAUUAAAUAUUAUUAAAAAAAAAUUUAGUUUGUGCGUCGAGCUAAUAAGCAGGCGUCAUGUCAUUUGGACAGUAUAUGUGAGGUCAUGCAGUUAUCAAACACCACCUACUGCAGUAGUAUUUGAAUCAUCUCAGCGUCAUCUCCUUGAAGAGGUGACACGUGUUUCAAACGACCCUUCAGUUUGGCAUCAAUGGUCUUUUCAUCCUUUUCUUUUUUUCUCUAUCUUGAUUUUCGCACUACCCCUUAAAAAUCUUAAAACAUCCCAUUCAAUUUGUAUUUUAUUAAGAUUUUGUUCUUUUUAUUUUUAUUACUAAUUAUUUUAUUUUGAAUAACUUAUAGAAUUAGAAUUCUUUUUCAAUUUCAUCCCCCUUCAAUUUUUUAACCUUUCAAAUUUGGUCAUCAUUCUUUUAAUUGUUGUUUAUUUUAUUUGAGAUAAUUUUUAAAAUUGAUUUUUUUUCCAUUUUAUCCUCAUUGAGUUUUUUCCUAUCAAAUUUGAUCCUUUUUCUUUUGAUUGGUAUUUUUUAUUUUGAAAGAAAUUUUAAAUUUAUUUUUUUUCAAUUUCAUCCUUGAACAUUAAAUUAAUUGGGAAUUGAGCUUUUCAGUUGAGCUCAGGUCUAGGAUUUCAUGGGCUGCAAGUUUUAAAGAUUAGCCAAGGUUUAGAAGGCUUGCUCGGAUUUGCUUGAUUUUUUUUAUUCAUUUAGGCUUUUUUUUACUUUCAUCCAUUUAUUCAAUUUGAGAUUAAGCUCCAUUAUUUUUAUUUAUUUUAUUGUUUUAGAAUUUUACACUAAUUUUUAAAAUGUACCAGGUUAUUUCAGGUCUUUUUUUUAUUUUUCGUUCUUUGUUGAAUUUCUUUUGCCAAUUUUUUAAAUUGAUAAUUUUUUUAUAAUUUCAUCUUUCAAUAUCUAGAAUAAUUUUUUUAUAAAAUUAGAAUUCUUUUUCAAUAUUGUCAUUUUUGAAUUUCUUAAUCUUUCAAAUUUGGUCCUCAUUCUUUUAAUUGUUAUUAUUUUUAUUUAAGAUAAUCUUUUAAAUUAAUUUUUCUUACAAUUUCAUCCUUAUUAGGCUUUUUCUAUCAAAUUUGAUCGUCAUUCUUUUGGUUGCUAUUUUUCUACUUUGAAAAUUUUUUCAAAUUCAUAUUUGUUUUUCGAUGUCAUCCUUAAACAUUAAAUUAGUUAAAAAUGGGGCUUCUUGAUUGAGCCGUAGUAUGAGAUUUCAAUGUUGAAUGAUAUUGUGAAUUUCACUUUUGCUUCUUCCAAACAUCAUUUUGUGUUAAAAUUGACUAAAAAAUAUGAAGUUCGGGAGUUGAUAAUAACUGGAGAACUUGAGAAUGUUAUAAAGGCAAAUGAAGCUUCUAUUUUACAUCAACCUGAAACAACUAGUUAGGAUUCUCAUUUUAGUUCAAUAAGGAGUUUAAUUGAGUUAUUUGAAACAACAACAACAACAUUGCUAUUAAAGAUUGAAGAAAAUGGACCAAACUUUCAAUUUCAUACUAAGGCUUUCAAAUAUUCUUUUGCCAUGACAACUUUUGACUUUGUCAUUGUCUUACUUUUUACUAACAAAGUUAUGAGAGUUUAUUGAUUUUCUUUAACAAACACUUCAAAGAAAAGAUUAAGAUAUUGUAUAUGCUUUAAAUUUUAUUUCAUAUUCAAAUUUUCAACUUCAAUGUUUGAGGGAUAGCGAUUGGGAUGAUCUAUUUAAAAGUUUGGUAUUUUUUUGUGGACAACAUGAUAUUGAGAUUCUUGAUAUAAAUUCUCCUUAUAAGAUUGAUACAAGUCGUUCUUAUUAAUAAAGAGAUUCUAAUAUAGUUAAGUAUCAUUAUCAAUAUGAUAUAUUUAACACUGUGUAAUAUAUUUUUAACUGAUGGAUUUAAAUCAUAUAUUUUCAUAAAACACAGUGGAGUUGCUUUAUCUUGGAUCAGCAUUGAAUCAUUUUUAUGCCUUCACAUCAUUUAAAAUUGACGAUACAUGUAAGUUUGCUGAGAAAUUAUAUCCUGAAGAUUUUGCUCUUAUGAAUUUACAUGGUUCAAGAAUACAGUUGGAAUAUUAUAAGUUGUCAAUGGAUCAUCCAAACUUUGAGAAUAUUGAUUAUCUUGCUACAUUGUAUCAUCGUUUAGUUGACACAUGCUUGACAAAUGAUUUGGACUUGGUUAGUAGAAUGAUUCGAAUGGUACUAGCUCUUCUUGUUUUUUCAUCAAUGACUAAACAAACCUUUUCAUCUAUGAAGUUCAUUAAAAAUCAGCUUUGAAGUAAAUUGGCCUCUUUAGGCCGACACCAGCACCGUCUCGUUGCCAUUAAGCCUGAGCUGUUCACAGUUGUAGAGAAAUUCCAUUUGCGUGAGUAGUAUUAAUCAAGAUAAUAAAUUUCAAACACCAUCAUCUUCUGGCGACCCUCGUCUGGUACAGCGGCUUAAGGAAAAUAGGAAGCCAAUGAGCUCAAGCAAAUGGACAUGUCCUUCAAACACGAGAGCACCUGCUAUUGCCCGGUCAUUUUACAUGGUCCCACCUAUGCUGGCGAUUAUUCAAUUCUUACUUGUGAGUUUCGUGAACAUUGUAGAAUUGCUUACUCUCCUGUUGGCUUGAAAUGAUUAAUUUUCUGGAUGAGUAUCUCAUAUGCAUUAAAUAAGUGGAUUUCGUUAAUUAUUCUCAUAAAUCUAAUAGUUUGUUUUUUGGUAAGUAAAUUCUGUAAAAUACUUAUAUAAAAAUAGCAUUAUUUAUUAUAGAAAUGUGAUGUAAAUGUCAUUGGUUCAAUUAUGUUAAUGGGUUCGUGAAAAACUCUAACAAGUUUUUUUUUUUUUUAAUUACGAAGAACUAGAAAGUGAGAAGAUUGGACUUAAGUUGCAUGUAUAUAAAAUUAUUAUAAAAAGUGACAUGAACAUUUUUAUACAGGAUAUUUAUUUUUAUUUUUAUUUUUAUUUUUUUAAAGUGAAUUUUAAAAAAUAAUUAAUAGGAUAUCACUGGUUAUUUAUUAAGCAUAAAAAAAUUUAUUUUUGAAAUCUUAAAUUUAUAUUAAUAUGGAAAAAAAUGAAGUUUAAAAAAUUAUGCUAUGUUUAUUUAAUCUUAAAUUAAAAAAAUAAAAUUAAAAAAAUUAGUGUUCACGUCAACGUGAACAGUGUGAGUGAAUAUUAAUUAAUUUACUGUCUAUUUUUUUUUGUUUAAAUAAAAUUUAAAGAAUUAUGCCGUGUUUAUUUAAUCUUAAAUUAAAAAAAGAAGAUAAAGAGAUCACAUUAAGAGUUUUUAAGUAAUUAGAUUAUGAAAACUUUUUUUGUUUUUUUGAACACAUCAAGAGCACUGAAAAACUAGUAAUAUUGUAACAUUAAAGCAUACGUUUCAGUAUUUAGUAUUGUAAAACUGGAAGUAAUUAUUAACAAUUAAUAAUUAACGGCACUACAUAUGCGAGCAGGCUGUCGUUUCUCAUUUUAAUUAUUUCAUCAGAAAUAACAUGUGCCAAUAAAUGUGAGGGUGCUUUUUCUGCUAGCUGCGGCAAGGUUUGUUGCCGACAGUGAUUUUGUUUUCGUUUUUUUUUUUUUUUGUUUUUUCCCUCAUCUUACACUGUUAUUCAAAAAUUUUAGAAUUGUCGGUGCCCGCAUUUUAACUUUGGAUUUUAUUUUUGUUUUUAUUUCUUUUAUAAAAUCUUAAUUUAUUAUUUAAUUUUAAUUUGUGAUAUAUUAUUUUUUUCAAUUUAGUCUUUAUUUUUUUAAUUAUUUUUUUUUCAAGUCCUUUUGUUAAAUUAAUUUUUCUUUUUGGUUUCAUACUUCAAUCAAAAAUUUAUUUUUAUUUUUACUUUAAUUAUGAUCCUAAUUAUUUUAAUUAUUUUUUUAUCCUUUUGUUAAAUUUAUUUUUCUUUUCAAUUUUAUCCUUCAAUCAAAAAUAAAAUUUAUUCUUUAUUUCAAUUUUGAUCAUCAUUCUUUUAAUUAUAACCUUUUGUUUUAGAUCCUUUUAUAUAAUUGAAAUUUCCUUUCUAAUUACAUCUUUCAAAAUUUGAUUUAUUAGGAAUUGAGUUUUUUGGUUUUUAGAUUGGGUGCUCGGGUUUUCUCUAUUUAUUUUAUUUUCGAUAUUGGUUUCUUCAAAAAGACUUGCUUUUGUGAUUUUAUUUUGUUUUCUUUUCUAUCAUAUUAUCUCAAUAUUAUAACUUGGAUUGUAUGUGUGGUGGGAUAACCUGGAUUGACUCAGCUCUGAUUACCCGAGUUACAUGUUUGUCAUGCUAACUCGGGUUGACACAAAUCAUAUUUUUAGAUUUUUUUUUAUCCAACUUCAUCCUUCCAUAUUUAAUGAACUGAGAAUUGAGCUACAUUAUUUGUUCCUGUUUAAAAAAAUAUUUUCUUCAUAGGUUAUCAUGAUCACUUUUUGAAAAAAAAAAAUGAUCAAUCUGCUAUCAUUGUUUUUUUUUUUAUUUAAUUAAAAUAAAACUAAAUUAUUUGAAUUAUUUAGGUUUAUGAUUGAAUAGCGGGUUUUUCUUCUUUGUUUAAAAUGCAUUAGUGGCAUCUAAACAUCAAUUUUUACAUAAAAAAAAUUAAUUUGGACAUGAACAUCGAAUUUCUUCUGCAUUAUAAAUCACAACAUUUCCAUGGCUUUCAAAGUUCAGGAAAAAAAAAAGAUUUUUGCUGGUGUGGAUAAUAAAUGCGAUCAAUACAGCCACACAUACAGAACUAGGCAGCAUCUUUAGUGCUAGAGACACCAUUAUUCAUGUUUAGUCAAAGGAAACUGUAACUGCAAAGCUUAUAAGAGAAAUGGAGAUUGUACAGUAAACCAUAGCGGGCAAUGGAAACAGAGACUGCAAUUAAAACAGGAGUGCAGGAAUUUAAAAAAUGAAAAAGAGGCAAAGAAAUCCCAAAUUCAAAUACAAAAAGAAUAGUAUCUUGAAAAUGAUUUUGAGGAAGAAAUACCUUCGACAGUUCCAAGAAAUCCACUGCAAUUAGUGUUGUGAGAAAUAAGGUUCAAUCUAGUCCCGGGAAGAACGGUUGGAUCAGAAUUGACAUCGUCAACAGCAGCAGCAAUAGCUGGCCCAGCUGCUCUCCCUAUCACUGAAUCGAAGGUAAACAAACUUCCUAUAUUUGCAACACUCGGUCGUGGAGAAGAAGAAGAAGAAACACUAGUUCCAUUUCCAUUUGCAGCUGCCUGACCAAAAACAACUUCCAUGGGCACACAAAUACCAGUAAUCAACAGCAGCAGCAGCAGCAACACUCUUUUCAUCAUCAAAAAUACUCUAGUAGCACAACCACCACCAGCAAUAUUCAAAGACACAUCCAUGGUAACUAACCAAGCUUGCAAUCAAAUUAAAAAUAAAUAAAUGAUUCUCCACGUCAAGCAACCAUUUUGUUUCUUCAAUGUAAUAAGUACCUGCCAAUGAUGAAACACAAGCAGAGACACAUGUUAAUGAACAUCGAAAGCCGAAUUAUGAAUAGCAACAAAAUAUAAUAAAGUAGAAAAACAAGCUGUGGAGCCCACAUGCAAGGGAGGAAAAACAAAGAAGGAAGGAUGUUGCGGUGUAGUGGAAUAUUUUGGUAUGGCUUUAAGCUUUGGCUUAGAUCAGAUUAGAUGUUAGCAUAUAUAAGUGAUUACCUUGAAGCCCAGAUACGGAAACUAGUUUGAACAGUUGAGUGCAUCAUAAUUAAGCUUUGAGGAUGUAAUGAAAAAACAAGGAUCAAGAGAGUGGACAAAAGCUCUAAACAGUCUUGCAAGCUCAAGUAAGGAAUGAUUCUCUCCUUUUAUGUCUGCUUGUUUUAUUAUUCUCUGGUGUGUUUAAGCUUUUUGCAAAGGACCAUGGCUAGCAUUUACUACAAUUUAAUAAUAAUAAUAAUAAUAAUAAUAAGAGUUAAAGUAACUCUAAUAUAAUAUCUUUGGGAUUCCACUCCAAACAUAUAUCAGUUAAAAUUAAUUAUUUUUUUAUAUUUUUAAAUCAUUAAUAUGUUAAUUUCAAAAAUAAUUUUAAAAAAUAAAAAAAAUAUUAUUUUAAUAUAAAAUAUUAUUUUAAUAUAUUUCUAUAUAAAAAAUACUUUAAAAAUAAUUAUUAUCACAUUCUCGAACACCUCUUAAUCUAAUUAUGAACCAAAUUUACUAUUCUAUAUUUCUUUGUGGAGUAGAAAUCCAUCAUGUGAUCCCUCAAGUUUUAAAAAUUAGCUAAAUCACCCUCUUUGUGUCAACUUAUUUUAGGAUUUCUUUUCUCUUUUUUGUUAUUAUAAAGGAGAGAUUCAAACUUAAAGCCUCUUAAAGGAGAGAAGACAGUGAUACUAAUUGAGUUACAACUCUCCUUUUUUAAAAGAAAAUAAAUUAAUAUGAGAUGUUAACCCUCGUGUUUUGAAUUUGUAGUCAAGCAUGUAUGUGGUCAACCCUGGCGACUACAAAGUACAAACUGAACUGUUGUGCCUAAAAUUAAAGUGUAAUGGUCGAUUUAAUCAAUUUCCAAAACUUGAGGUAUCAAGACAUGAAUUUACUUUUUAGAAGAAAAAAAAAUACAUCGAAUGACCCUUCUUGUCGUAGUUUUGAACCCGGCCCGGCCCGGCGGGUUAAUCCGGGGCUGGAACCGAUCCGGGUUGAAGAAAAAACGGGGGAAAGAAAAACCCGGUGUGACCUGGUAGGUUGACCCGGCGACCCAGUCAAGACCCGGUUGCAAACCCGUUGACUUUUGUUUUUUUUACUAAAACAACAUCGUUUUGAUUUAAAAAAAAAAACUGACCCGGCCGACCCGGUAAUCCAGUCAAAACCCGGAACCCGGAUCUUAGACCGGACCGGCCACUUGGCCAGGUCUUAAAACUAUACUUCUUAUUUUGAGAGUAAAUAAUCAUACUCGUAGAAGUUUGGAAGCAUUUCCAUUUAUUCCCAAAUAAUCAUGCCAUUCACGUAUCGUGUCUACUUGUAAUGUAUAUGUAAUAGUCAAUGUACCCAUGCCACGCUUUUGGUGGAAUUCCAAGUCAAUUUCAAAUGCAAAAGGAGAAUAUGCAUGUACUAUAUUAUAGAUGUGUUUUUUAAUCUCAUAAAAUUUGUUAAUUAAGGAAGGAAGGUUUAAUACAAUGAAUUGAAAAAAAUAUAUUAAUAGGUAAAUAAAAAAAUUAUGAAUGUUAAUUAAACAUUGAAUGUUAUUUUUUAAAAAUAAGAAGUAAAAUACAGAUACAAAUACAAACAUUUUACAUCGACAUCAUUUUUAUUUUAUUUAUUUAUUCUGAAGCUAUGAUUACUAAAUACAUAUGAAUUUUAAUUUUAUAAAUACAAAAUACAGAUAUAACUAAUCUAUCUUAAAUCUAAAAUAAAAAAUAAAAAAUAAAUUAUAAUAAUUUUUUUUUGAGGUAUUGCAAAAUUAUAGAAACCAACCAAAACUUUUAUUUCUAUUAAAAAUAGUCAAACUAAACAACUUUAAAAAUGAGAAAGAGGAAAUUAAUUAAGAAUUAAACUAGAAAAAAAAAAACCAAUGAAAAAAAAAGAGAGUCAAGGUUACUUGACCUAGAAGACUAAGCCCACCCAUUUAACCUAAAAGGCAAAAGCCUAUACGGCCCAGUUCUCUAUUCUUUUUUUUUUUUUUAAAAAGGGUAAUAUGUUGUCUUUUCAAAUAUUUUUUUAAAUUAAUCAAACGACAAGUCAUCUGUCUAGAUUGACAACAUAUCAUUCACCAUUAUCUUUUCUAAUCACCUUUAAUGAUCGAAAAAUUAGAGUUUGACUUUUUGUACUCACAAAAACAAUUUUCAACCUGUUUUUAUGAAAAACACCCCUAAAAUACUUGAAACUUCCAUAAACUCAUUCCAACCCUAGAACAUCAUCUAAUCACUAUAAAAAAUGAAAAUCUAAUAUAAGAAUAAAAAAGCUUUACGGACCCUAGUCAUCCUUUUCUAGCAUGUUCAAAGGGCAACACACCACCUUCAUUAAACUCUCCUAUCUAAAACGAACCAAUUAACACACUACACCAUUAAACAGUUUUACCGACAGAUUCAUUCCGUUGGUGUAAGACACACAACUCGUCGGUAAAAUAUUUACCGACGGAAUCCUUUUGUUGGAAUAUUGAUCGUCGGUAAUUCUCCUUUUUGUCGAUGAUUCUGUCGGAAAUAAAAUAAUAAAAAACAAACACCAACAGUCUUACAGACGGGGGAAGCGCGCCAAUUUUUUUUUCUCGCGAGAACUAUACCGACGGACGUGUUUGGUCUGUAUUUCCAACGGUAAAUCACCGACGGACUGGCCGUCAGUGAUUGUGGCAUGGACGGUAAAUAUUUCAAAACUCUCUGUACAAUAUCGACAAAUAUAUUUCGUCGGUAAUAUCAACAACAAACACCGACGAAAUAUAUCAACGGUACACCAAAAUCAGCCUUUUGUGUCCAAAAUAUGGCUUACCAUACCCUUUCUCUUUCCUUUACCUUUUUCCAAUAACUUUAUCUCCCCUUCCUACAACCAAUGACUGAAAUGUAAACGAAAAAAAAAUUAAAGUUUAAGAUUGAAAUAUAAGAACCUAAAACAACAAAGUUCAAAUAUGCAAAAAUUUUAAAAAAGUAAGGGACUAAAGUGAUUUUUUCCAUGUCUUUGGAUAGUAAAGAUGAAGAAAAGGCUCUGUUUUUGUUUAUUUUAUUUUUGGUAAUUAUUCUAACUUUUUUUAACAAUAACCUAAAAUUCCAUUUUGUAAAAUUUUUCUUUCAUGUAAUAUCAAAAUAUUCUUUAACAUCUCGCACACACGAAAGCAUGCGAAUAAAAAAAUGUCAAAAUAUAAAAUCAUGAUAACAUAACUUUUGAAGACGAGAUUAAAAAAAAACCUUUAAUGAUCAAAACAAAAUGAACUAAAAACUUGAGGGUCCUAGAUUGAAAAAUUGUCUAAUAAACAGGGAAAUGAGUGUUGAUAAGAACAAUGAUUUCCUAGACUUUUUUAGUUUAUUAAGUAAUAAUUACACAAAUAAGUAUUUUGUUUUUUGAGUUACAACAAAUAGGUUUGUUAAUACUUAAAAGUUAUUCAAAUAUCAAAGAUAAGAUUUGAUAAGAUCCAUUCAUAUAUCUGAACAAAUUAUGUCUCUUUAAAUCAAAAUUAAUUCCUUAUGCAAUUUUCCACAUAACAAAUACAAGUUAUACAACAUAUGAAACAAGAUGAACAUAACUUGAUUGGAUUAGCUUGAUAUGGAAGUAGCUUUUGUAUUCGUUCAAAUUAGAUCAGAUUGAAGAAUUUAUUCACUUGUUAAGUAAUCAUUAUCCAUUCUAUUUUUUUUUUCUAUUUAAAAAUGAAUAAAUAUGUUAUUUUUAAAAACCAUAUGAAAUCACAUAGUUAAAGUAUUGAAAUAAAUAAAUAUUUAUUCAUUAAGAUAAAAUACAAUAAUAAAAAAAUAUUAAGUGAUAACAUAUAAAAAUCUCCACUCCUCCCUUCACCUAACCUUGUAAAACAUGACUAAUUAACCAAUAGUUAUUUAAACCAUACAAAAACUAAAACCAGCUAUGUCAAAUGACAUUGGUAACCAAUAAGCCAAGUAAAAUCAAGUAUAAUUCAAUCCUUCUAUUUUAAUGAAACUAAUUAAUUAUCAUCAUGAGUUUAGAAACUAUAUAUUCAAUCUUGAAAUUUUAAAAUAUGUUUAUGCAUUAAUAAGAUGGACAAUCCAUAAUCUUGUUUUAUCUUUCUAAAGCUCAUGAUUACACCUCUAAACACUAUAAGAACUGAGGUAUUCAUUGUUAUCAAAGAAAAAUAAUUUGUAUAGUAUCCUCCUUAUAUGUGGGGUAAUACAUAUACAUAAAAUCUCAAUAAAUAUUGUUUAUUCAAUAAGAAUAUAAGACUUGACACAAAAGAUUACAAUGCCUUGAAGAAAUAGGUAAAUAUAUUAAUUUCUAAGGCUACAUCUAACAAUUUAUAUAUAAAAAAAUAGAUGGAGAACUAGUGUUCAUCAUUUAUCUUUACCUAAACUCCUUUCAUAAGCCUAUUACCUUUUAUACCUCAUGAUGGAGAACAAGUAUCAUUUCCAUAUGAGGAUGCUUUGGUAAUAAUCAUUGUCCUUUCCAAUUAUAAAGUAUAAAAUAUGCUCACGAUAAUGGAAACGUGGUGAAUAUUUUCUUAAGUAAUGUUGUAAAUGGAAAUUAACCCCUUCAAGUUAAUCCUUGUUAAAACGCCUCUAAUUGGAAUAAAAGGGAAAAAUUUUCUAAACAAAUGUUUUAUUGAUAAACUAGUAAACAUUGAAACUUAUUUCAAAAGUCUCUCUGCAACAAAUUUUUAUCGUGAUCAAAAUGGACUUGGCUUAUAACUUCAUCAAUGACUAGCCUCUUUUUCAUGGGAUUAGAAUGACAAUCAAUAUCAAAUAUCUAGUUAUGAAAUUUUAUAUUGAAAAAGGAGUUGUCACAGUAAAGAAAAAUCAAUUAAUCUUAAAAAAAUACUUCUCCAUUUGCCUCAAAUAAAGCUAUGUUUAUUGAACAAACAAGGUUUUUUAAAGAGAGGGCAAAGAUAUGGACUAAAGCCAUGAAAAGAUAACCAAUCGACCUCUAUGAAAUAUGUCUUCAUUUACUUUAAAGAUAAGAAAAUUAUGUUUAUAAAACAAAUAAGGCCUCCAAAAAAAGAGACCAAAGAUAUGAAUUGAAGCCAUAAAGGGAAAACUAAUUAGCCUUUAGGAAAUGCACCUUCACUUUUCUUAAAGGCAAGAAAACUAUAUUCAUUGAACAUAUAAGGCCUCUAAAAAAUAGACUAAUUAAAGAUAUUGACUAAGGCUGUAAAAGAUGAAAAAGAAGUAAGUCUCUUUGAACAUGAUACUAGUGUAAUUAUUAAGAUUAGAUUUGCAUUAGACAUCGAGUAGGAGAAAGCCAUCACGAAGCUUUUUAAAAUCCAAAGGGCUAAUUUCACUUUUAAUCCCUCAGAUAUUCUAAGUAUAGACUAGGAUGUGGCCUCCCAUAUAUCAAACAUCAAUUUAUCUCUCAUUUUUACUAGGAAAAAAAAAGAGUUUUAAGGUGAAAGAUAAAAGGUCAUAAUUGAGGAGGUAGAUAAGUUGCUAGAAGCAACUUUCAUUUGAUAAGUAAUGUACUCUGAUUAGCUUGCCAAUAUGAUUAUGGUGAAAUAAUAGUCUUGAAAGAUUAUCAUGUUCUUUUUCAGUCAUUGAUCUGUACCCAUUGCAUCUCCUCCUUUGAUGCUAUUAUAGUAUAAGAACAGUUGGCCUGAAAAACUAGUUUUGAUGUGGAUUUUUCGCUCUAUAUAACAGUAUGUUCAGUGCUGCAAAACGGUUAUUAUUUCAUCCGGGCAAGAGUACAAGUGAUAGGGUGUAAAGGAGGGGUGUUUUUUUUGUCUUAUGUAAAGGAGAAAGGAGGGAGUUUUAAACCUUGCACACACACACACAGAGAGAGAGAGAGAGCACAGUUGCCCAUUCAUUCUGUCUCACGGGAAGUUGGAGACAAUCUACAAUGCUUCCUAAAAUGACUUUGUUUCCUUUAUAUAUAUAUAUAUAUAUCAAAACGAGGUGUUUCAUUUAAAUGAAACAACAUCGUUUUGACGGUUAAGGUUUGAAUUAGGUUAAUUCUUCUUUUUCAAUUUCAAUCUUUCAAUUUAUUCAAUUAGGUCCUUAAUUGAAUUUUAGGAAUCAAUUCAAUUUUACCCCUAUAUAGUUUCAAAAACAUCCCCUGAUUUCAGUGUGUUUUUCAUCUUAGUCCUUGGUUUUGGAUUUAUAAAAAUUGAUCCUCAAUUGAUCAUUUAACCUUUGAUUUUCUUCAAUUUGGCCCAUGAUUUCAUCGAUUUUAGCCCCUGAAGUCUCGCGCCUCUAACAAGUCGGUCCCUGAUCUUGAAGUUCUUUGAUUUUGCUCUUAAUUGACCCUAAAACUUUAUUUUUCUUGCAAUGUUGUCCUUAUUUUCACCCAAUUGACUUUGUAAAAAUUAAAUUUUGUCCUCUAAAAUUUUAAUCUUCUCAAUUAAACCCAAAUUAGGCUUUCAAUCUUAAUUUUUCAUCAAUGAAGUCUCUAGUAAAAUUAAAUUGACCAAUUAAAAGUCUAAUUAAAUCUUUGCACUUAAUUAAAUGUUUUAAUUUGACCCAAAUUAAUUCUUAAACUUAAUUAAAUCUUUAAUUGGACCCAUAAUUAAAUCAAAUUGACCUAUCAAAAGUUUAUUAAGUCCUCAUACUUAAUUUUUAUGUAAAUUCACCUAAUGGUCAUUUAAUUUGGCCUUAAUUUGUAUUGUCUCUCAGUCUUGGAUUCAAUUGGUUUAAUUGGGCUCCAAAUUCUAUUCAAAAUCCUAAUUUAAUUCCUCCAUGUGCUUGAAAUCCUUCUUAGCCUACUCUUGCUAAUAUUUUUUUAUUUUCAUUUUUAUUGUUAUUUUUUGUUACUUCUUAUUUUAUUUUAUUUUAUUGUAUUUUGAAAAUAUUUAGAAACAGAGGGUCAAAAAUUGGGUUAUGACAGAACCAUAGUUUUCUUAUUUCUAUUUUGUGUAUCAGAUCUAGAACACCUUCUAAAACGUUUUGACACAAAUUAUUGAAACAAUGCUCAAUUACUCUUUGUGACAUACCUCGGUUUAAUCUCUUCCACUUUUCAAUGUCAUAUCAGAGCUGACUUUUCUAAUUACUUGUUUAUGGGUAUGGGUAUCGUACCAUAAAUCAUGCAACCUGUUAUAGAAAUUUGUUAAACAAAAAAAAGGCAAGGAAAUAAAAGAAUACAAGUUUACAAUAAUAUAACAUUAGUUGGUUUAAACAUACCUAGUUGCACAAUGGUUUUCCCACAGUCUCCUAACAAGUGUCUUGUUGCUUUUGUCCCACAAAAAAAAAUUUCUUAAUUGAUUUCAUACCUUAAUUAGUUUCCAAAAUUUUAAAAACUAGUAACUCAAAGUAGAUAUUAUUUAAUUAUCUAACCUUAAACUUUCUCCAUCAAACAUUUACCAUGUUCAUCCAUUCAGGAUGCUCAUAAAGCUCACUCUAUUAAAACAAUGGUUCUUUAAACAACCACUUCAUUGUAGAGGUAAUCGAACAUGCAACUUCAAUAUUAGUGAACUUGAAAACCAUUUCAUCAAUGUCAUUUUCAUGUAAUAUAAAACUUAAAAUAACUUAAUACAAUAAAUAACUUCAAUAUUGAGAUAAAAUAUUAAUUAUAUACAAUGGUCGCCUUUCCAUUAUGCAAUAAUUUUAUCUGAAAAAGGCCCUAUCAAAGAAGAGAUGCCUACUAUGUUGUCCUUAUUGGUUAAGCCUUGAUCAGUAACUUUUACAUUAAGUGGUGUGUCCUUAUAAUCAUCAUCUAUAUUAGCAACACAAUCACCGACACUAAUACUUGAUAAAGUAGUAGCGCUCUUAUUAGACUUAAACAUAUUUCUUCUUGAAUAUAUGGUACCAAAAAAGAAACAAUAACAUAAUGACAACACAUACUCAUGAAAUUUAAAUUCAAACUCAUAUAAGCCAAAUUUUAUUUUGCCAAAUUUUCUAAUAAACAUGCUAAGAAAAUUAACACACAGAGAGAGAACAUAAAACAAAAAAUAAAAUAUUCAAAUAUGACUCUAUAACCAUAUAAAAAUAGCAUCUCACUUCAUCAAAAAAUUAACCAAUUACUACAUUUCCUUUCAUAGAUAACACAUCUAAAUUAGUAAUAGCCUUCACAUUUUUAUUUGUGCUACUCCACAACAAGUACAUUUAAGGAAUCCAAAUCAAGCAAAAAAUGAUAACAUUAUCCCUACAUAUAAAAAAACCAUAAUUUCUCAUUUUCCCGUACUUUCUUAGCUACCAAACAAAUAGGUUACUUACAUAAACAAUAAAAAAGAAAUCAUAUUACUAAACGAACAAUCCCCCCCUAGUCACAUAAACUUAGCCAUAAAUUAUCUUCUCUUCACUUCACUAUUUAACCAACCAAGAAACCAUAAUUGAUACUUAAACAAACUCUCUUCACUUCACUAAUCUCUUUUUCUUAGUUAGCUAAAUACUUAAAUUAUAAAUUAUAAAUCAUUACCCCACUUUUCCACCAACCAACCACGAACCCAAAUCAUCAAUAAAAAUAAUCCUCCACUAAACCAAGUAAAAAAAUAAACAUUUAAAACAAUACCUAAAAUUCAAAAAACAAUCUUCCUAUAUUACCAACAUGCAAAAAUUAACAAAACCCAAAAAAACCUAAAUCACAUAAACCAAAUAGCAAAUAAAUUACCUUCAAAUCGGGUAAAAACCAUAGCCCAAACUUAGGAUUUAACUAUGCCAAGUCCUUAGUUUAUUAAAUAAAAAAGAAGAAAUUAAACUUGAGAUGGGUAGAAAAGAGGUAUUAUCAAUGUGGGAUGUGUGAGUGGGGUAGGGGUUACUGUUGUUGUUUUGAUGAUGAUGAAUAACAAGAAGAAGAGGAAGAAGAAGAAAAAGAAAUAGGAAGAUGAGAGGAACUCUUGAGUUUUAAUUCAUUUUAAAAACAUAAAUGAAAAUUCAUUUAGUAAUUUAAAAAUAUUAAAAUACCAAUGUAAUUGUCGAUAAAAUAUUUUUAUUUUUUAUUCUGUUUAUUUUUUCCCAUAAAAAAUUACUGAAGAAAAUCUUUCAUCGUAAUUUCCAUCAGUAAAUAAUUAUGAAACAUUUUUUGUCAUGUUUUUGUUAUUAGUGUAUGCCCACAUCUAUUUGUUUUUGUUACUAUUCUCCAAUUUUUUAGUGGUGUAUGCUCAUGUCUAUGAGCAAGUUGGUUUGUUUUUGCAAGUAUAAAUACUUCAUGAAAAUGUCCGGCAAGGGAGGACACAAAAAAAGAAAUAGAUAGACUCCUACAAGGAGAAAACAUUCUCAUGUGCGGAAAGGUCCAGAAUCCAUCAAGGUUUUCAGCAAGGAAGGAAGAUGAUAAAAACUCUUGCUUAAAAUGAUUCAUGCAUGCAUGUCAUAUAAAAAAGAGAAAAGAAGAGAAAAAUCUUUUGAGAGACUACGACCGUGUCUUCAUCACAAAAUUGGAAAUUGAUUAUCAUCUUUAUAAAUUUAAGAACUCGAGGUCAGUCGGAGCACGUUGCAGGUGAAGUGUUGAACAAUCAAACUGUGAAUUUAAAGGACGAAGGUAGAGUAUACGAAGGUGGAAGUUUCUGACUCAAAAUAAACUUUAUUUAUAUUACAAUCCAUACAAAAAUACCAAAAUCUAUUCAAAAGAUACUCCAAAAAAGAAAAAGAAAAAGAAAACAAAACUGUAGUUAAUUGAGGUGGUGGGGCUGGGACCAAGGUUGUUAAAAUCGCGAUUCAACUCGUAAAAUCGUACGUUUUUACGAGUCAAUAUAGGCUUUACGUGCUAAAUCGUUCACAAAACUCGGAAAUGGGUAAAAUCGGGUCAAAAUCGGGUAAAAUCGUUAAAAUAGGGUGAAAUCGCUUAAAAUCGCGAUUUCACUGCCGAUUCAACGAGUUUGCCCGCAGGAGAUAAAACAGCAAUGUUGAUGACUGGUGUCAACCGCCUAUUGGCUUUAACUGAGCAAAAGUGACAAAUUGACAAUUGCAAAUUCAUCGAGGAUGCACUAUGCAGUCUUCUCUUCACAUUUCUGAUUUCACCAUUCACGUUCAGAACAGAAAAAAUCCCUAAAUUGAAAUCCAUAAGCAUACCAUCAAGCCAUGAAGUUUGGAAAAGAAUUCAAGACCCACCUAGAAGAAACCCUUCCUGAGUGGAGGGACAAGUUUCUCUGCUACAAGCCCCUCAAGAAACUCCUCAAACAAUUACCUUCCACCGUUGAUUCUCCAUAAUUUCUUCACUCUCUGAUCAUGGAAGCAGACGACUUGUCAGUCCUUCACAAAUCACUCUUCGAAGACAAACUCUCUGCCACCGAUCUCUUCUUACAAAAACUCUGUUCUGAUACUUCCAUCAAGUCAGCCCUCCAACGAUUCUACUCGAUUCUAAAACGCGGCGUUUCACUGAUCGAUGAUGAUGCUAAUAAUAGUGAACGCAAGUUAGGGUUUCAAUUAUGGACCGAUUCGCAAAUUCAAUCUGUCGUUUCACUCGGUAUCGCCAUCGUUUCGUCUUCUAGAUCUCUGUCAGGUUGUCUUUUUUACUCGAUUUCCACUUUUAUUUAUUGAUAAUUCUUUUAAUUCAUUUUUCUGUAUGGUUGAAUUUUAAUUAGCAGUUCAGUAGUUAACUUGCUAAUAAUUUCGAUUUUAUUUUAUUUAUUGAUAAUUUUUUAAUUCGCUUUUUUUUUGUAUGGUUGAAUUUUAAUUAGCAGUUUAGUAGUUAACUUGUUCAGUUUUUUUUUUAAUUUUUUCUAAAUAUUAAUUUUCAACUCCAUCCACGCCCUCCUCCGCUCACUGGUGAUGUUCAUGGUAAUACGAAUAGGACUUUGGUGGAUUUGCAAGAAUGGUUUGUUAGAAUUCUUAGUGAAGAGCUUGACAAGUUCAAUGAUUUCUAUGUUGAUAAAGAAGAAGACUUUGUUAUACGCCUUCAGGUUUCUUUCUUGAUUUUUCUUUUCUUUCUUUGUUUUACAUGUUUAUAGCUUUGUGCAUAUGGGUUUUUAAUUUCGAGGCUUUUGUUUAUUAUAGCUCUGGGAAUUUAAGGUAUUGUGGUUUGAUGGUGGCUUUUAAGGUUUUUUCUAUAUGCAUGUCUUGUAAAUCCGAACUCAUAGGUCUGGUUUAAGGGUUUUGUAAGUUUUUGAAUAAUCAGGAGAGGAGUAGAAUGGAGAAGACAUCGUGACUUCAUUGGAACAGGAGAAUAGUGGGAUGUCAAGGAAAAAAGACGCAUAAAAGUGGCUUUCCUUUCCCUGGUAGUGCUGGGUGGUGUUGUCAGAUAGUAUGUGAAGAGGAGAUUGUCGAUGGGAUUGGAGGGGCUUGAUAAAGUUAAGAAUAACUUUUCCAGUUUGUGGAACUUGCUGAAGUAGAGCAGAGUAUUUUGUAGUAUAGUUAUAAGGCCAACCAUCGUCAAUUAUAGCUGACAAUAGGAUUGUUGGAAGUCAGUUGAGGGAAUUGAGGGUGCUGAAAUGAGGAUAUUGAAAUGAAAUGCCAGGUCAUCAAUAUAUGAGAAUUCUUGGGUUAUAACUUAUGAUGAAUGGAUUCUGUCUAUUAUUUGUAAUUUGGAUGAAUGGAUUCGACGAAUGAAUUCUGUCUAUUAUUUGUAAUUUGGAUGAAUGGAUUCUGUCUAUUAUUUUCUGAUUGGAUAAUAAUAUAGAAGAUGGGCUGUUAUGUAUUAUGUUUUUUUUUGACAAAAAUUUAAUUACAAUUAUAAAAUGUUUGGAUUGAUUACAAGGCUGAUUUGAAUUGAUUCUUGAAUUUUUAUUUGAAGCAUGAAUUUUUUUAAUGUAUUUUAAAAUUCCUUACGAUUUUACGAUUUUACGAUCCGUUUUUACGAUCCGAGUUUGUUUUGCAUUUUCCGUGCCGUGUUAAAAUCGCGAUUUUAACAACCUUGGCUGGGACCUCAGUACCUGGUCCUUUCUUUUAUAGCUGUGUGAUAUUUGUCAGUGAAGGUAAGGCCCCCAUGCAGAUGUCCCUUUUUCACUCUUUUUUCUUUUUCCCGACCCCAGAUAUAUGUGGACUGUUUCAUGUUUAUUUUAUUGGACACAUGUAAUAUUUAAUCAAUCUUUGGACAUGUUGUUGCCUCUCUUUUCAUCAUAACUUUUGGGUGUUAAUGAGGGUUGCUUGCAGCAGCAGAUUUAAAAUAAAAAUAAAUAAAUUUUCAUAAAAAAAAAACACGUUGAACCUCAUCCACGAAUAUUAGAUAUGCGUUUACAAUCUCCACGUCUCGUGAUGCUGUCAGACAAAAUCUCCCAUAUUAUAGUAGAUCCAACUCUGUUUUGUGUGGUGUGGCUUCAAAGAUUUUAGCUCAGCCCCACGUUUACAAAAGUUUAUUGUUGCAAUAAAAAAAGAACAUAAUUAGAUGGCAAAAUCUAAAUUAGACCAACCAUAUUAGCUCGAUGUGUGAAUGCAGAUUAGAGAUGCAUCCCAUUAUCUAUGAAAGCUCUUCAGAAUACUUUUAAAAAUGAUACAGAAAGGGAGAGCAUUCCCGCACCCAAUUACAGCACAGGAGCAAGCUCUUACUGGUUCCAACUUCCAAGCCUUAACCCCAAGGAUGGGUCGACGGUCAGCUUGACUUGCUAGCAAUUGAAUUUUAUGUUUUGAAAAAUUGAUUUGAUGCCUAAUAACCAACCAAUGGUAUGCCCCGCAGUGUUUGUCAGGCUAAGCAUAUAUUUCCACGAAAAAAAAUGACAAUCACUACGCUCGCAAUGAUCACCACUUAAAAAUGAUACAGAAAGGGAUAGCAUUCCCGCACCCAAGGGCAGAGGGCAUGUUAAAGGAUACAUGUAAAGAUUUUAUCAAUAUUUUUUAACUAGUUUUAUAUAAAAAUAAAUUUAUAAUUAAUAAUUGAGUUGUUAAAAAAUUUUAAAAAUUUACGUGGAGCCUUUUAAUAUGAUGCUUUACCUUUGGUUAAAAUUUCAGAAUUUUUGAAGAAAUUCAGAGAUUUAAUGAAAAAUCACAAUUUAACUAGUUUUACCUUAUUGGACGUAAUUUUCAAUACGACCAUCAGAUUGAGCUGAAGUUUUACGAGGGAUCUUAAAAUAUAUAGAAUAAAAUCUGGUUAAAAUUUUAGGAUGAACAGAGUUUUAUUUGCCAUUAAAAAAUAAAACAAAUCAACUCUUUCUUUUUUUCAUAUGUUGCCGACCGGUCAAAAGUAGAAUAAAAAAAAAACCAAAAGAAAAAGUGUGAGAGAAAGAGAGAAAAGUAAGGGAAAACUAAAUAUAAAAAAAAAUUCAAGGAAAAAAAAUAAGAAAAGUGAGAGAAUAACCUUGUAAACUUACAAAGUCCAACUUAUAAAACACUAAUCUAAGGAAGAAUCAAGUGAAGGAAGGAGGAAUUGAGAGAGGAAAAAAAUUUAAUUACUUUCUUUUCCAGUUGACAUGAGAUUGUUAUUUUAUCUCGGUUGAGGGGUUGUUAUAAUAUUGAUUCAGAUUCGAUUAUAGAUGAAUUAUAUUUUACAAAACAUCGAAGGAUGUAACUUCAAUAGUUGAUUUAUUUUUACUUUCACUUCAAUUUUAUGUACUUUCAAAUUUAUUUUUUAAUAUUUUAGGUAGUGUAUUUGAAUUAAAACUUUACUGUUAACUUUAAAAAUUCAUGUACAUGAGUUAAUAAUUAAUUUUAAAAAUAUAUAUAUAUUUAAUUAAUAGCUCAGGGCAAGAAAAAUUCCUGACUCGCCUUGCCCGCACCCAUUUACAGCACAGGAGCAAGCUCUUACUGGUUCCAAAUUCCAAGCCUUAACCCCAGGGAUGGGUCGACGGUCAGCUUGACUUGCUAGCAAUUGAAUACUAUGUUUUGAAAAAUUGAUCAGGUCGUCUGUAUCCUAAUAACCACCCAGUGGGAUGCCCCGCAGUGUUUAUCGGGCUAAGCAUAUCUUUCCACGAAAAAAAAAUCAAUGUGCAGUCAAUUUAUUAGUAUUGGGAUGAUAGGUGGGCAGUUUUUUUUAUGAACGAAGGCUGGUAGUUAGGUGGCUAGUGCAGAAUUCUGGUAUAUUAAUUUGUCCUGGCUCAGAGAUACUUUUCAUUGUUGAAGCCUGAAGAAGAUGUCCAAUCCUAAACAUGUUUUCCUACAAUAUCUUGGUCCUGUUGGCUACAUCACAGAAACAAGAGCACUGCAAGAGUAAAAUACUCAUCAAUGACAUCAACUUGCAAGCGACAGCCGCGACUGCCACAUCCAACUAUCCAUAAUACCAAAUUUUAUUCUAGGAUUUGUUGGAAUUAUAUAUUUUGGAGAUUUAUAGUUCACCUUUCCAGGUGUUUUUUUAGUAAUGGUCUAUUUACUUAAUUCAUUAGGAUUUAUGCUAAAUAUCCUUGAUUAUAAUAAAUAUAUAUGAAGAAUUAUGGACUACAUGUAUGUUUUGGUUAUUUAAAUGAUGCAAGCUUGAAACCUUUUCUUAUAGGAUUAGGUUUGUUUAUCUAGGAUUUGUUGAUUAGGAAAGAAUUAGCUUGACUAAGAUUGGGUGCUUUAUGUUAAACUUGGAUUAAUUUUUUUGUUUUAAAAGAAAAAAAUCAACAAAAUCAUUUAUUUUUAAGGAUUAACGUGCGUCAAAUUUAUCGACGAGUCUUCUAUUCAUAGGAACCAACAUUAUUUUUAAAAAUAAAUCAUGAAUAAGUUUAGAAAUAUAUCUAAGUAAUUAAUGGCAUGUAUAGAAUAAAUUUAUGAGAAAACACAUAGUAAAAUAACAUUUUUUUUCAUUUGAAAAGAUAUUGUAAAGGUGAUAUUUAUCUUUUCUUAAGCAUAAUUAACUAACUUAGUAGCUGAAUCUUUGAGACCGGUGUCAAUUUUAGAAUUUUUAGUUUUUUUUUUAAUUAUAUCAUAUAUAUUCAUAGUGAUGUGAUAACUAUGUUAAUGUACGAAACCGGGUUAGAUUUAAAAACAUUGUAGAAUAGAUCCCAUGAAAACAUAUAACAUUACUUUAUAUAAUAUUACAUGUGAUGGAAACAGGUACUAAAGCAGGCAUAAAAAAAAGUAAAAAUAACCAUCAUAAUAUUUCAUUACUAAUUAUUUGUCCAUUGCAUAGAGAAAUAACAUAAUAUUAAUGGGUAGAGAUAACAUAUAUAGUAGUGGAUAAUAUAUAUAUAUAUAUAUAUAUAUAUAUAUAUAUAUAUAUAUAUAUAUAUAUAUAAUUUGCAAUAUCAUAGAGGUGAUAUGCAAUAUCUAAACCCUUUCAUGCAUAUAUAAUUAAGGCAAGGCUAGCAACAUAAGACAGCUAAAUAUCCAUUAGAAUUUUAAUGGAGUCUUGAUGACCAGAGGUUUGAACCCAUGUUGGAUACUUGCUUGCCAAACUUUGUCAAUGUCAGCCAUGGUAGAACCGCAUUCAUGCUCGUCCCAUCCUUCCAAGGCAUGCACUAUUCCAGCCACACGCCAUGCGCUCAUCACUCUUCUUGGCAGCCAAUUCUGUCAUCAAGUAUUUUGCAAUACAAAUUAAUUAUCUUUCCUAAAUUAAGAAAAUAAUGCAAAUAGUACUUUAAUUUUCUGCAAUAUUUGACUAAUUAAUUACCUCGCAAGAGUCCACAUUUUCAAGAGAUGCAGGGGCUGCCAUUACUGGUAUGCUGUGAUAGAAGCAAUCCUUGCGCAAUUUCUUUGGGGGAAAUUGCGAGAAGGGAAUAAAUAAUGUUCCUUCUGCUGCUUGUUUUUGGUCCUCUUCUUUCAAUCCAUCCCCAACUAACCACGUCUACACAACAAAGUUUAUUAUGAUAUUAGAAAUGUCAAUAUAUAUAUAUGCUACUUAAAUAAUUUAAGUUGUAAUUUUAUUUUAUUUUUGACAAAAAAAAAUUGAUUUCUAAUUCCUUGGUAGCUAAUGAAAGCAUACCUUUAUUGAAUAACUCUUUGAAAGAAUUAGAUUGUUCUGAUCAGAUGUGAUGCCGAAAGAUUUUUUAAGUUUCUGGUAAUCAUCCUCACAUGGUACAACUACCUAAAAAAUCAGUGAAAAUAAUCGUAAUAAUUAGGAAUUAUAAAUUAAAACAUGACCAUAAAUUAAAUUUGCCUAUACAAUCAAUUUAAAUAAAUUACUGUCAAAUUGAAGCAAGUGACAACCUGUGCCUAUUUGCCUAGUAGACAACAACAAUACCUGGAUUCCCCUCUGGCAGAGAUUUAAAGCAACAGCAUAGGCAACCUUAGAGAGAUUGCCUCUAUGAAGCACUUGUGUUGUUCCUUUAGGUAUGCUAUUCAGCACUGCAGCAACGGCUAGACUGCUUCCAUCCACCACCUUCGUUUUGAGCCUGGGAUGCCUUUGCACAUAAAGUUCACCAUACCUAUUAAGCUCCUCUCCCUGCAUAAUUUAUGUUUGAACAUGAUGAAGAUAUAAUUAAUAAUUUAUGGUAUCCAUGAAAUAUGGGAAAUUGAAAAGAAAAAAAAAAACCCUAUAAACUCAACUACGUGGCAUCUAGUAAUGGCCGUUCUAAAGUAACCACCACUGUUUUUUUUUCCCUAGAAAUGCAUUAUAUUGAAGUGCUUGCCUGAUUCAAGAGACCGAGACUUAACACUUUAACACCUUUUUCCUCAGCUUCAAGUACAGCUUCUUCAAUCAAGGUAUUUAUGGAUACUUUUUGCCAUCGCAAGUUGUACUGCCAAAAAUUAGAUAAGCAAAUUAAGGAGAACAGAUUAAACUGAACGCCCUUGAUUAAUCAAUGACAAAGAAAUAUCCUUCUUAAUUACUUGAAUAUUGUAUUUUGGUAAGGUCCACGUCUGUAAUCUGAGUUUGUGGAAGCGAUUCCUCUCGACAACAAAAGUGCGUCCAUAAGUCCAAGUUAACAUCAUGGUCCACAAGGUCACCGGCCACAUUAACCAUAGAUACCACUUCGAUUCUUGAGGGUUGGAAGCCAAGCAGGCAAGUCCAAGCCGUAAAUGAUAGAUGGAAUCUGGUGUGGUAAGAUGAGUUAGAUGCACUACAUCAGGGGCUUCCUCGGGUCUCUUGAGCGAAUCU
rnacentral:lncRNA from 1 species